AAUAUUGGACAAUGUGUUCAAGCCUGCUCCAGCCAUGCCGCGUGUGUUAAGAAGGUCUUCGGAUUGUAAAGCACUUUACGUCGGGCCGCAGGGCAGUACGCUAAUACCUUUCUGUUUUUACUUUACCGACAGAAUAAGCGCCGGCUAACUUCGUGCCAGCAGCCGCGGUAAUACGAAGGGUGCAAGCGUCAAUCGGAAUUACUGGGCGUAAAGCGCGCGUAGGUGGUUUGUUAAGUUGGAAGUGGAAGCCCCGGGCUCAACCUGGGAACUGGUUUCAAAACUGGCAAGCUAGAGUAUGGCAGAGGGUGGUGGAAUUUCCUGUGUAGCGGUGAAAUGCGUAGAUAUAGGAAGGAACACCAGUGGCGAAGGCGACCACCUGGGCUAAUACUGAAACUGAGGUGCGAAAGCGUGGGGAGCAAAC
rnacentral:rRNA from 1 species